rfam:Schistosoma mattheei strain Denwood, Zambia genome assembly, scaffold: SMTD_scaffold0007893
GCCGACAACCAUAUCACGUCGAAAACACUGGUCCUUGCCAGGUAACUGGAGUUAAGCGACAUUGGGUCUGUUCAGCACUCACACGCGUGACCGCCUGUGGACAUCGGGUGUUACCGGCU